UGUUAAGGCAGGCUACUUGUGUGAUGCGUUCUGGGAGGAUGCAAAUAGCAAAGGGCUGGUUUCCAGCGAUAAUUCUCACUUUUGGUGGAACUAAGCCAUCAUGAUGAUAUUUUUUUAUGAAGUGACAGUCUUUUGCAGAAUGGAUUACUACUUCCCUGGCUCACCAAGCUUACACUCUUACUUUGGACCAUGUCUUUCAUCAUUUUGAUUGAUUGAUUCUAGUUAGGGAAGGGGGCUAUUCAAGUGCAUGGUGAUCUCAUCAAUCUCUGGCAAUCUAGGUUUUGUUCUGGAUGAGAAAAAUUACAGAAAGCAGGCUGCCACAAUUGUAAAUAAACCCUGCAAGAUAAGUGCUGUUGAGCUUAUAAAGAAGUAUUAUAAAAAAAAAAAUAAAAAAAAACAGCUAGAACUUUAUCACAAUUUUAUGAUUAUUCCUGUCUUUUUAAAUGAUUUUUGAAGUUUUAUAUAUUCUUGCUGAUUAGAAGAGAAAUGAAAAUUGCAUACAUACUUUUAAAUUUAUAUCAAUAAACUUUGUCAAAUAGAUAAUAUUGCAGUGUCUUAUUCACUUGUUCUUAAUUAAUGAACUACACCCUAUGCCCCCCCCCCUUGAUAGUCUCCCCUAUAGCCACAGUAGGGAUCCACAGACAGCUAACAUAUCUGUAGUAGCAGAUAUUUCCACAGAUAUGGAUGUACUGUUGGUUUUUUGCAUCUGUCACAAUAUAUCUGUCACAGUUAGAAAUUUUGGGCCAAAUUCCCAUAUGUUACAGAUAUGUUACAGAUAGGGCAUGCAGGUAUUUCACAGAUAUGCUGCAGACCUGAGGAACAUAUCUGUAGCCCAUCUGUCUGUUUGGUGAGGGUCCUUUAAAAGCAAUUGAAGUAAAAAAGAAAUAUCACCAACAAUGAGUGUGAUAAUUAUUAACGUUAUAGCUUGUUAUAACCAAGUCAACCAAAAUCAGGGCUCGACACUAAUGGUAGCCAAGUAGCCACAGACUAGUAGAAAUUCAGUUUUGGCUUAUGGUUUUGGAUUUCCACUAGCCAGUUUGGCUAGUAAACAUACUGAAAUUGUAUCAUCCAAGUUGUCACUUGCCACAUCAUUUUGGUUUGUAAUUUGAAAAGUUAGUGUCAAGCCCUGACAAUGCAUGCAUCACAUGUAGCUGCCACAACUUACUGAGUGCAAAAUAUUCC